GUGACGUAUAACGGCUCUCCCAUGAUUGGACCACGUGUCUCUGCCAUACAGAUAUGGGCGUACGAGGAUAUCAGGCGCCUGCUCCAUGCGUAACGGCCUCUGAUUCUCCCCCGUGCGUACACUCGAGCGGAUCUGCCAGGCUGUACGACGAGUCUCGUUCUGGAUUCUGGGCUGGGCCGAGAGCUAGGCUGGACGUUGAACCCAGGAGGAGAAGGAAUCCGUGGGGAGGUUAUAUGGGCUGGGCCGAUCUCGAUGGGGAAGAAUCUGGUGGAGUCCGGCCUCAGGGGUCUAAUGAUCCGGGCCUGUUUUACUUGAGAGGGCGUGCGGGCCUUCCUUUCAUGGGCCGUGGUCGUAAUCUAGGCCCAGGAUUGGGGGUAGGGAAAUCCAGCGGUCAUCAAU
rnacentral:lncRNA from 1 species